rnacentral:rRNA from 1 species
GUGGGGAAUUUUGGACAAUGGGCGCAAGCCUGAUCCAGCAAUGCCGCGUGCAGGAAGAAGGCCUUCGGGUUGUAAACUGCUUUUGUACGGAACGAAACGGUCCGGGUUAAUACCCUGGGCUAAUGACGGUACCGUAAGAAUAAGCACCGGCUAACUACGUGCCAGCAGCCGCGGUAAUACGUAGGGUGCAAGCGUUAAUCGGAAUUACUGGGCGUAAAGCGUGCGCAGGCGGUUAUGUAAGACAGAGGUGAAAUCCCCGGGCUCGACCUGGUAACUGCCUUUGUGACUGCAUAUCGGGAGUGAGGCAGAGGGGGAUGGAAUUCCGCGUGUAGCAGUGAAAUGCGUAGAUAUGCGGAGGAACACCGAUGGCGAAGGCAAUCCCCUGGGCCUGUACUGACGCUCAUGCACGAAAGCGUGGGGAGCAAACAGGAUUAGAUACCCCUGUAGUCC